UACAGAGGUCUCGAGCGUUGUUCGGAUUCAUUGGGCGUAAAGGGCGCGUAGGCGGCGGGGUAAGUCUGGUGUGAAAUCUCGGAGCUCAACUCCGAAAUUGCACUGGAUACUGCUCUGCUAGAGGCUGGAGAGGAGGAUCGGAAUUCACGGUGUAGCAGUGAAAUGCGUAGAUAUCGAUGAGGAAGACCAGUGGCGAAGGCGGAUCUCUGGACAGCUCCUGACGCUGAGGCGCGAAGGCUAGGGGAGCAAACGGG
rnacentral:rRNA from 1 species